GACGAACGCUGGCGGCGUGCUUAACACAUGCAAGUCGAACGGAAAGGCCCUGCUUUUGUGGGGUGCUCGAGUGGCGAACGGGUGAGUAACACGUGAGUAACCUGCCCUUGACUUUGGGAUAACUUCAGGAAACUGGGGCUAAUACCGGAUAGGAGCUCCUGCUGCAUGGUGGGGGUUGGAAAGUUUCGGCGGUUGGGGAAGGACUCGCGGCUUAUCAGCUUGUUGGUGGGGUAGUGGCUUACCAAGGCCUUGACGGGUAGCCGGCCUGAGAGGGUGACCGGCCACAUUGGGACUGAGAUACGGCCCAGACUCCUACGGGAGGCAGCAGGGGGGAAUAUUGCACAAUGGGCGGAAGCCUGAUGCAGCAACGCCGCGUGCGGGAUGACGGCCUUCGGGUUGUAAACCGCUUUCGCCUGUGACGAAGCGUGAGUGACGGUAAUGGGUAAAGAAGCACCGGCUAACUACGUG
rnacentral:rRNA from 1 species